UACGUAGGUGGCAAGCGUUGUCCGGAUUUAUUGGGUUUAAAGGGUGCGUAGGUGGCCCUGUAAGUCAGUGGUGAAAUAUCUCAGCUUAACUGAGAGGGUGCCAUUGAUACUGCAGGGCUUGAGUACAGAUGAGGUAGGCGGAAUUGACGGUGUAGCGGUGAAAUGCGUAGAUAUCGGGAGGAACACCGGUGGGGUAGAGGGCUUCCUGGACCGCCACUGACGCUGAGGCACGAAAGCGUGGGUAGCAAACAGG
rnacentral:rRNA from 1 species